CCAAUAGCGUAUAUUAAAGUUGUUGCAGUUAAAAAGCUCGUAGUUGAAUUUCGGGAUCAUCAGGUUGGUCGUGCCUCUGGUAUGUACUGAUUUCGAUGGUUCCUCCUUCUUGAAGAGCCGUAAUGCCAUUAAUUUGGUGUUGCGGGGAAUCAGGACUGUUACUUUGAAAAAAUUAGAGUGUUUAAAGCAGGCAAUCGCUUGAAUACAUUAGCCUGGAAUAAUGAAAUAGGACGUUCGAUCCUAUUUUGUUGGUUUCUAGGAUUGACGUAAUGAUUAAUAGGGAUAGUUGGGGGCAUUAGUAUUCAAUUGUCAGAGGUGAAAUUCUUGGAUUUAUUGAAGACUAACUACUGCGAAAGCAUUUGCCAAGGAUGUUUUCAUUAAUCAAGAACGAAAGUUAGGGGAUCGAAGACGAUCAGAUACCGUCGUAGUCUUAACCAUAAACUAUGCCGACUAGGGAUCGGAUGAUGUUAAUUUUUUAAUGACUCAUUCGGCGCCUUACG
rnacentral:rRNA from 1 species